rnacentral:lncRNA from 1 species
UCCCCGAGUUUCUUGGUGAUGAUAAAGAGCUUCACUGGCGUCAUUUGCUUCGCCUACGUGCGUCGAAUCGAGAAGGGCGGCCUCGUACACUCGUCACAGCCGUCAUCUUCUCCGCCAUGGUCGUCGACCCCUGUCGUCGAUUCGCGCAUCUCCAGUUCAUCCCCGACCACCUCGAGCUCGCCUAAAGAACCAUAGUGAGUUGCGCCUUCGAUUCCCCCUUACCCUCGUUCGAUUCCAUCGCCGUUGCUGCCGCGGUCCGAUCCCACGCGAGCUCGUGCUCACCCAGCCGUCCGCGCCUGUCAGGAGCCGCGCCUGCCUUCGCCCGGCCGCGCCGGCGCCGUCCCCUGCACUCCCUGCCUCCCACCGGCCACCCCUGCCCUGCGCCCGCCUGCAACUGCCGUCACCGCGGCGCCAUCAUCGCGCCUCCCCUGGUGCCCCGACCUCCUGUGCCUGUGUUGUCCGCUGCUACUGCUGAUUGCUGCUGCAGCUGCCCUGCUACUACUUGUCGCAUGCCGCCGCCGCUGCUGCAUUGCUAUCGCGCCCAGCCACCCAUGCCCUGCACGCAGCCGCUCCUGGCUGGCCAUGGUCAUCGUGGCCUUUGAGCCAUGCGUGUUGGCCCUGGUGUGGCCAGCCGAAGAGCAUGGCUGGAGCCUCUGCCAAAUGCGUCGGCCACUAAGACUAGGAUUAGUAUUAUUUAACUAACGUGCUAACCUUAGAUGCUACAUAGAGUAUGACUUAGGGGCCCUACAACUAAUUAGACUAAAUAAACAAUCUGUUUAGCAAACGACUCUAUGAGAGUUGGGCUCCACCACCCAUUUUGACUAGUCAUCACUUGAUUGUUGACUUUGCUGACUCAAACCCCCUGGACCUAUCUAUCAUACACAGGGGCUGGCUACUGUUGUGUAUAAAAGUUUUUUUAGUUUAUUUUCGAAUGAAAGCAAAUCUAGAAAAUCUUUAAAACUUUGGGAAUUCAUAGAAAAAUAACCAUAACUCCGAUGAAAAUACUAUGUACAUGUUGCUCAGUACGAUGAGACGGAUCCGAAUACGUGGUCUGUUCGUCCGCCACACGUCCCUAGCUUAGCGAACAUCGAACCUUUCCCCUCUGGUUCAUCUGUCCGAAAAUGCCUAACCCUAGAAAAACUUUCCCCGAUGUUAUCCUCCUUCGCUGGUAUCGUGUAGCACCACGGUAGGACACCCCUAGCCCUACAUGUUACCCUAUCAUGCAUUUGUGUUCCAUCUGUUUGCGUUAUAUUUACUGUUUCUUCCCCCUCUUCUCUCUGAUAGACCCCGAGACCGAUGCGGAUGCCACUAUGAUCGACUAUGUCACCGACGACUCUUCUUCCUUUUCAGCAGAGCUUCUAG